rnacentral:rRNA from 1 species
GAGGCGUGCGAGGGCUGUCGCUGACUUUUUGACACAAAAAGUCGUGCACGCCGGAGUGCGUCCUCUCACAUAAAAUCCAUCUCACCCUUUUGUGCACCACCGCGUGGGCACCCUUUGGGAUCGAAUCGAUCCAGGAGGGGGCUUGCGUUUUCACACAAACCCCUUUUAAAAAGUGUAGAAUGACCCCACUUUGCGAUGACACGCAAUCAAUACAACUUUCAACAACGGAUCUCUUGGCUCUCGCAUCGAUGAAGAACGCAGCGAAAUGCGAUACGUAAUGUGAAUUGCAGAAUUCAGUGAAUCAUCGAAUCUUUGAACGCACCUUGCGCCCCUUGGUAUUCCGAGGGGCACACCCGUUUGAGUGUCGUGAAAAUCUCAACCUUCUCGGUUUUCUUCUGGACACCGAAGGAGGCUUGGACUUUGGAGGCCUUUGCUGGCAUCUCUCUCUUCUUGAGAGCCAGCUCCUCUUAAACGAAUUAGCGGGGUCCUCUUUGCCGAUCCUCGACAUGUGAUAAGAUGUUUCCAUGACUUGGUUUCUGGCUCUGUUGCCUUUGGGACCCGCUUCUAACCGUCUCGACGAGACAACGUUUGGGCGCGUCUCCCUUCUCGGGAGACUCUCUCAACCCCACGAACCCUUGA